AUCGAGAAAGUGUCAUAUCGCCCGUUUUUCUGGAUGAUCUUAGAUGAGAUAUGACGGACAUUCGGCCAGAAAUACUCGGAAUAUUCAGGAUAAAUGGGAGGAGCCCCACCCUCAACUUUUAACGUCAUGGCCACACUUCAUUGCAUCUCUGUUCGGAGAACUGCACCACUAGUGUAUAUCAUUUCUUCAACGAACUCUGUGAAGGUUUUCCAUUUUCCGAGAUUAUCAUCCAUCAUAGGUUGAUAAACCAACAUGGCUCCCAAACCACCAACCGAAGCUGGAAAUCUUAUGACCACCUAUUUGAUCCUUAUAGCGUUGCUAGCAGCGUUAUGGGUCAUAUAUGCCGGUUUCAUGUAAAAUAUCAGGUUUCCAGCUGUUAAUGAAUGUCGGAUUUCUCUGCUCGCAACUCGCAAGAUGGAGGAAGUGGGAUGGUUGACAAUCUGUCGAUGUUAUAUAUAUAUUUAUAUUUUUAUAAAUCAUAUGUUGUUGAUGUUUAUGCGAUGAUGUAUAAUAAAAGUUAGUAGCAACUUGA